GACGAACGCUGGCGGCGUGCUUAACACAUGCAAGUCGAACGGAAAGGCCCUGCUUUUGUGGGGUGCUCGAGUGGCGAACGGGUGAGUAACACGUGAGUAACCUGCCCUUGACUUUGGGAUAACUUCAGGAAACUGGGGCUAAUACCGGAUAGGAGCUCCUGCUGCAUGGUGGGGGUUGGAAAGUUUCGGCGGUUGGGGCUGGACUCGCGGCUUAUCAGCUUGUUGGGGGGGUAGUGGCUUACCAAGGCUUUGACGGGUAGCCGGCCUGAGAGGGUGACCGGCCACAUUGGGACUGAGAUACGGCCCAGACUCCUACGGGAGGCAGCAGUGGGGAAUAUUGCACAAUGGGCGGAAGCCUGAUGCAGCAACGCCGCGUGCGGGAUGACGGCCUUCGGGGUGUAAACCGCUUUCGCCUGUGACGAAGCGUGAGUGACGGUAAUGGGUAAAGAAGCACCGGCUAACUACGUG
rnacentral:rRNA from 1 species